UCCGGGAUAACCCCGGGAAACUGGGGAUAAUUCCGGAUAACGCACAUAUGCUGGAAUGCUUUAUGCGUAAAAUGGAUUCGUCUGCCCAAGGAUGGGUCUGCGGCCUAUCAGGUAGUAGUGGGUGUAAUGUACCUACUAGCUUCCAACGGGUACGGGUUGUGAGACCAAAAGCCGGAAAAUGAUUUUUAAGCCAUGAAUCCAGGCCUUACGGGGCGCAGCAGGCGCGAAACUUUUACAAUGCGGGAACCCGUGAUAAGGGGACACCGAGUGCUAGCAUCAUAUGCUGGCUGUCCAGGUGUGUAAAAUACACCUUGUUAGCAAGGGCCGGGCAAGACCGGUGCCAGCCGCCGCGGUAACACCGGCGGCCCGAGUGGUGAUCGUGAUUAUUGGGUCUAAAGGGUCCGUAGCCGGUUUGGUCAGUCCUCCGGGAAAUCUGAUAGCUCAACUAUUAGGCUUUCGGGGGAUACUGCCAGACUUGGAACCGGGAGAGGUAAGAGGUACUACAGGGGUAGGAGUGAAAUCUUGUAAUCCCUGUGGGACCACCUGUGGCGAAGGCGUCUUACCAGAACGGGUUCGACGGUGAGGGACGAAAGCUGGGGGCACGAACCGGAUUAGAUACCCGGGUAGUCCCAGCCGUAAACGAUGCUCGCUAGGUGUCAGGCAUGGCGCGACCGUGUCUGGUGCCGCAGGGAAGCCGUGAAGCGAGCCACCUGGGAAGUACGGCCCGCAAGGCGA
rnacentral:rRNA from 1 species